GUAAGUUUAUAGGCAGAUAUUUUUUCUCUCCAGAGUGAUGCUCUCUGUUCUAUAAUGUGCUCUGUUAUUCCUUUGACGUUUAUUUGUCAUCAUUCCUUCUCUCCCUCAUUGCUGGACAUCUACUCACAACCCACCAGUUUGCUACAGUCACGACAGACGCAUCAUCUGGUAAUUUACCCAACUAUCAAGGGCUAGGUGAUAUAUCAGAAACCCAACAGAUUGCUACUGAGACGUGACAGACACAUCAUCAGUUUUUCCAGAGGACUCAGAUACAGACUGCUAGGCCCACCAUCCCGACAAACACGUCUUCCAAACAGCCUGUCUCACAGACUCCUCUAGCCGUCUACCCAACUAAUCAGCCAAUCAUGAAGCCCAUGGCACC